rnacentral:tRNA from 1 species
GCGGGUGUAGCUCAGCAGUAGAGCGCCCCCCUUCCAGGGGGGAGGGGCAGUGUGCAAUUCCUGUCGCCCGCU